AGAGUCAAAUAUAACCAGGAAUAACUUGCCGAUUAAAAGCAAUUGCAAGCACAAUUUCUUCCUGAACCAAUAUACAUGGAUGCCGGCAAAUUAUUCCUGGCUGCAAUCCACUCUCU
rnacentral:pre_miRNA from 1 species